AAGUCGGUUCUCUGAUUCUCCCCUAGUGGUCAAAAUAAAGAUAAACUUCAUCAGUGCCAGAGAUUAACAUGGUCUUAGACAAAUACAGAGAAACAAUAAACUUCCCACAAAAUAAACACACACAUGUGAUUCAACAGAUUCCCUGCAAACGCAUUGAAAUAAGCCAAAUACAGCAGUGAAAUGAAACCUGAGCACAAACCAGCAUCGAGACGACAUGAGUCAGACGACGUUUUGCGGCUGUUUGAACCACAGCUUGCUUCAAAAAAACAACAUCUGAAACUGAAAAAAUGCAACAAAUACAACAAAGGAGCGAAUGCUGUGGAUUGAUUUCACCAUUUGACCAAGAAAAUGGUCACGAAUGCAACAGAUGAGCCCGGUUCAGAAAGAACACUUCCACCUCACAUCUCCACGACCGACUCCUUCAACAACACUCGAGGACAGAAAAGAAGAUGCACCUUGACACCGCAGCUCUCACCGGUCUGACAGAAACGAGUGCUGAGGAAUCUGGCAACACCAUGACUGAGGAGCCACUGACUCCCUCCACCUCCCCACCACCGUCCCCCCCCUGUGUCCUUGUGGAGAAACACAACACAGACAGGAAUGUUUGGCCGGGGUCAGUGUCUGUUUUGAGAGAUACCAGCCAAUGUCAGACUGAGAGGGAGGAGGAGGAGGAGGAGGAGGAGG